UCGACACCGGAGCAGACCUUUCCGGAACCACAGCCCCAUCCCUCACUGUGGCGGCUGCGGACAGGACAGAAAGCCAGGGAGAGGCAAGUAUUCCCCAAACUGCUUCCUACCUCCUCAUCCUCCUCCCCGUGCCCUCGCUCUGCAGCUUGAGCGGCAGGGUAGGAGGGGACUUUCUUCCAGAAAGAAGUGAACAGCAAGCAAUCGAUUUUCUUCUUCAGCCAUGGUGACCAAUGCCAGUUCCAGGUUCAGCAGACCUGUUGCACCCAGAAAAGCGCCCCAAGCCGAUCUACGCUCCGGAGCCGGACUCUGCUUGCCAAUACCCCGAGAGCGCAGCACCGAUCGGGAAAUGUGGGGAGCUCGCAGAGGCAACUGAGUGAUCAUCUCAGUGUUCAGGGCCCUUCUUCCUACCUAGAGAUAGAAGCAAAUAACUCACUAACCCGGGCAGAGCAAUGGAGAGGCGGAAGCCCUAUCUGCUGAAAAAGAACAUCUAGCGCAGGUGCGUGCGAGUCUCGCCUUUUCACCCUCCGGGCUCUUGCCUAGGCAUCAGAAUCCCGCUGUCCAGGUCCCUGGAGCCCCUCCCCGGGCAAAUCGGCAAAUCCAAGUUUCCAGCUUCAGCACCAGAGACUGGACAGCGCCCUGCCCACAGUGCUCAGUGACGAUCCCUGGGAGGCAGCGCGGAGGAGUCCUGGAGCUGUCCUUCUGGCCUGAAUUUUCAGUGGGAAGUAGAGAAGCUGAAUGGAUGGAGAAGGGAACCUCUAAGUUAGUUUAGAGGCAGACCCUGUCACUACCACAGAAGGCUUGUGGCAGGGAGGUGAUGUGGUCUCUGGAGUUGGAAGUUAUCUCAGCUCCUCGUGGCACUGGAGUUGGCCAGACUCUCCCAUAUCAGCCUGGCUGCCUGUAGGAUGCUUUCAGGAGCACUUCCUGCAUGGACCACAUCGGAUGUCAGCGGGACCAUGAGCUUCUGUGCUAGAUGAUAAAACCUCAAUAUUAGGGGCUAUGUCUUGUCACUUUUGAUUCCCUAGAGCUCAGUCAUGUUUAAAGUAGAGGCUGAACACAGGUCUGAACUAAAUGCUGCGAGCUAACAUUCCAAGUCCCUUUACUUCCUCUUCAUGAGAAUGGCAGCUCUAACCCUGGACCCAUCAUCCCUACCUCUGCCUCCCCUCUAAAUCAAAAGCAUCACAUUCCCUAGCUCUCUUCACAAAAGAUAAAUGAAGGCUCAAUUGCUACCAUGGUUACAUGGAGUAGCCACACUGAGGAUCCCUAUACCCAUUACUGUCAUGAAGUAAGAGAAGAGGGGUUGAGGAAUCGUUGUCAUGGAGGAAACCAUGGA